rnacentral:rRNA from 1 species
UACAGAGGGGGCAAGCGUUGUUCGGAAUUACUGGGCGUAAAGGGCGCGUAGGCGGCCUUCUAAGUCGAACGUGAAAUCCCCGGGCUCAACCCGGGAACUGCGUCCGAUACUGGAAGGCUUGAAUCCGGGAGAGGGAUGCGGAAUUCCAGGUGUAGCGGUGAAAUGCGUAGAUAUCUGGAGGAACACCGAUAGCGAAGGCAGCUUGCUACACAGUUAUUGACACUGAGGCACGAAAGCGUGGGGAGCAAACAGG